rnacentral:rRNA from 1 species
GUCACGCCGGGGUGGGGGAGGGGGUGAUGCGGUGGGUGCCAGCGUGGUUUGGAAGUACUGGGCGUAAAGGGCUCGUAGGCGGCCAACUAAGUCAGACGUGGAAUCCCUCGGCGUAACCGGGGAAGUGCGUCGGAUACUGGAUGGCUUGAGUGUGGGAGAGGGAUGCGGAAUUCCAGGUGUAGCGGUGAAAGGCGUAGAUAUCUGGAGGAACACCGGUGGCGAAGGCGGCAUCCUGGACCACGACUGACGCUGAGUGAGCGAAAGCCAGGGGAGCAAACGGGAUUAGAUACCCUGGUAGUC